GAAAAUUCCUCUAAGGAGUAGAACGACUAGAUGUAUCAUUGGUUGAUAAUGACAACUUUAAUAAUUCUUGUGUGUCUUUUAAUUUGGUGCUUUUAAUAUUUUCCACUUUCUAUUUAUUUAAAAGUUGCAAUCUAUCCCUCAUUUUUGGAAAACUUAAAAUAUAAGAAAAUUUUCAUUAAAAAAAGAAAAAUCCAUCAAAUCUAAUUC
rnacentral:lncRNA from 1 species